ACAUCCAGAGAACUUAGCAGAGAUGCUUUGGUGCCUUCGGGAACUCUGAGACAGGUGCUGCAUGGCUGUCGUCAGCUCGUGUUGUGAAAUGUUGGGUUAAGUCCCGNAACGAGCGCAACCCUUAUCCUUUGUUGCCAGCGGUUCGGCCGGGAACUCAAAGGAGGCUGCCGGUGAUAAACCGGAGGAAGGUGGGGAUGACGUCAAGUCAUCAUGGCCCUUACGGCCAGGGCUACACACGUGCUACAAUGGCGCAUACAAAGAGAAGCGACCUCGCGAGAGCAAGCGGACCUCAUAAAGUGCGUCGUAGUCCGGAUUGGAGUCUGCAACUCGACUCCAUGAAGUCGGAAUCGCUAGUAAUCGUAGAUCAGAAUGCUACGGUGAAUACGUUCCCGGGCCUUGUACACACCGCCCGUCACACCAUGGGAGUGGGUUGCAAAAGAAGUAGGUAGCUUAACCUUCGGGAGGGCGCUUACCACUUUGUGAUUCAUGACUGGGGUGAAGUCGUAACAAGGUAAGCGUAGCGAG
rnacentral:rRNA from 1 species